UAGAGUUUGAUCAUGGCUCAGAUUGAACGCUGGCGGCAGGCCUAACACAUGCAAGUCGAACGGUAACAGGAAGCAGCUUGCUGCUUCGCUGACGAGUGGCGGACGGGUGAGUAAUGUCUGGGAAACUGCCCGGUGGAGGGGGAUAACUACUGGAAACGGUAGCUAAUACCGCAUAACGUCGCAAGACCAAAGAGGGGGACCUUCGGGCCUCUUGCCACCGGAUGUGCCCAGAUGGGAUUAGCUUGUUGGUGAGGUAACGGCUCACCAAGGCGACGAUCCCUAGCUGGUCUGAGAGGAUGACCAGCCACACUGGAACUGAGACACGGUCCAGACUCCUACGGGAGGCAGCAGUGGGGAAUAUUGCACAAUGGGCGCAAGCCUGAUGCAGCCAUGCCGCGUGUAUGAAGAAGGCCUUCGGGUUGUAAAGUACUUUCAGCGGGGAGGAAGGGAUUGUGGUUAAUAACCGCAGUCAUUGACGUUACCCGCAGAAGAAGCACCGGCUAACUCCGUGCCAGCAGCCGCGGUAAUACGGAGGGUGCAAGCGUUAAUCGGAAUUACUGGGCGUAAAGCGCACGCAGGCGGUCUGUCAAGUCGGAUGUGAAAUCCCCGGGCUCAACCUGGGAACUGCAUUCGAAACUGGCAGGCUUGAGUCUCGUAGAGGGGGGUGGAAUUCCAGGUGUAGCGGUGAAAUGCGUAGAGAUCUGGAGGAAUACCGGUGGCGAAGGCGGCCCCCUGGACGAAGACUGACGCUCAGGUGCGAAAGCGUGGGGAGCAAACAGGAUUAGAUACCCUGGUAGUCCACGCCGUAAAACGAUGUCUACUUGGAGGUUGUGCCCCUGAGGCGUGGCUUCCGGAGCUAACGCGUUAAGUAGACCGCCUGGGGAGUACGGCCGCAAGGUUAAAACUCAAAUGAAUUGACGGGGGCCCGCACAAGCGGUGGAGCAUGUGGUUUAAUUCGAUGCAACGCGAAGAACCUUACCUGGUCUUGACAUCCACGGAAGACUGCAGAGAUGCGGUUGUGCCUUCGGGAGCCGUGAGACAGGUGCUGCAUGGCUGUCGUCAGCUCGUGUUGUGAAAUGUUGGGUUAAGUCCCGCAACGAGCGCAACCCUUAUCCUUUGUUGCCAGCGGUUAGGCCGGGAACUCAAAGGAGGCUGCCAGUGAUAAACUGGAGGAAGGUGGGGAUGACGUCAAGUCAUCAUGGCCCUUACGACCAGGGCUACACACGUGCUACAAUGGCAUAUACAAAGAGAAGCGACCUCGCGAGAGCAAGCGGACCUCAUAAAGUAUGUCGUAGUCCGGAUUGGAGUCUGCAACUCGACUCCAUGAAGUCGGAAUCGCUAGUAAUCGUGGAUCAGAAUGCCACGGUGAAUACGUUCCCGGGCCUUGUACACACCGCCCGUCACACCAUGGGAGUGGGUUGCAAAAGAAGUAGGUAGCUUAACCUCCGGGAGGGCGCUUACCACUUUGUGAUUCAUGACUGGGGUGAAGUCGUAACAAGGUAACCGUAA
rnacentral:rRNA from 1 species